UACAGAGGGUGCAAACGUUGUUCGGAAUUACUGGGCGUAAAGCGCGUGUAGGCGGCAGGGCAAGUCGGAUGUGAAAGCCCACGGCUCAACCGUGGAAGUGCACCCGAAACUGCCCCGCUAGAGUCUCGGAGAGGAAGGUGGAAUGCUUGGUGUAGAGGUGAAAUUCGUAGAUAUCAAGCGGAACACCGGUGGCGAAGGCGGCCUUCUGGACGAUGACUGACGCUGAGACGCGAAAGCGUGGGGAGCAAACAGG
rnacentral:rRNA from 1 species